CAGCCGCCACGGUAAUACGUAGGUGGCAAGCGUUGUCCGGAAUUAUUGGGCGUAAAGGGCUCGCAGGCGGUUUCUUAAGUCUGAUGUGAAAGCCCCCGGCUCAACCGGGGAGGGUCAUUGGAAACUGGGAAACUUGGGUGCAGAAGAGGAGAGUGGAAUUCCACGUGUAGCGGUGAAAUGCGUAGAGAUGUGGAGGAACACCAGUGGCGAAGGCGACUCUCUGGUCUGUAACUGACGCUGAGGAGCGAAAGCGUGGGGAGCGAACAGGAUUAGAUACCCCAGUAGUCCCUGUCUCUUAUAC
rnacentral:rRNA from 1 species